rnacentral:lncRNA from 1 species
UACAAGUGAUAAGAGUAGGUGUAGGAGUAGGACUCAUUUAUUGAAUCUGGUGAUUUGCGUCGGAAGGUUGAGAAUAUAAAGAGCGUGUGAAACUAAGCCAUGUAAUCUAAAACUUUACCGAAACUUUCAGAUCUCGCCUAUUUACCGAUCCAAUUGCUAGUGCAGUAAUAGUUGCUUGAAUUUUCACCGGAUGAAUCUUCUCUUGAAUAAAACCGCCAAUAAGAGCUAGUCAAGUUGACUACUGAAAAUAUACGAUAUUGAAGAUGGCGUAUGUAGUGCUUGUAAUGGUCUGGUGGAUGGUGGAAGCUUUCCACUCUUACUUAGCAUUCAGUAUUACACAAAUGGAUUAAGGAGAAGCGGUAAACGAUUUUAUGAGGUUCGUUUAUUAUAAUGGGUUGAGUGACACGAUUCAAAUUGAGUCAAAAUAUUUUUCGAAGAUAAUCCGCCAAUUUUCUGUAACUCAUAUAUUAAUGCAUUCGUUCAAAUGAUAUUAAUACAUACGUGUAAAUAAGGGACAAAUAGGUAUAAAAAACACGGCGAUAAGAAAUGGAAUUAAUAUUUUGCAACAUGACAACUAGACAUUAUUUCGUCCGUAAACUUUAAUAGUCCACGACAACAAAGCGACAAUAGCAGUCGUUUAUUAUUUGGUCUUCAUUAUGUCAACAAGCUAUUUGA